rnacentral:rRNA from 1 species
CAGUAGCCGCGGUAAUACGAACCGUGCGAACGUUAUUCGGAAUCACUGGGCUUAAAGCGCGUGUAGGUGGGUGGGUACGUCCGUCGUUGAAAGCCCCCGGCUCAACCGGGGAACUGGCGCGGAUACGGCCUACCUGGAGGGACGUAGGGGGACCUGGAACUUCCGGUGGAGCGGUGAAAUGCGUUGAGAUCGGAAGGAACGCCCGUGGCGAAAGCGAGGUCCUGGACGUUUUCUGACACUGAGACGCGAAAGCCAGGGGAGCGAACGGGAUUAGAUACCCCCGUAGUCCCUGUCUCUUAUA